GCUUAUAGAUGAGCAAAGAAAGUGGUUUCUUGAGAAAUAAACUAUUCUUGGUGAAGAUGCUGUGAA
rnacentral:pre_miRNA from 1 species